ACAAGCGGUGGAGCAUGUGGUUUAAUUCGAAGCAACGCGAAGAACCUUACCAGGUCUUGACAUCCCCUGACAACCCGAGAGAUCGGGCGUUCCCCUUCGGGGGACAGGGUGACAGGUGGUGCAUGGUUGUCGUCAGCUCGUGUCGUGAGAUGUUGGGUUAAGUCCCGCAACGAGCGCAACCCUCGACCUUAGUUGCCAGCAUUCAGUUGGGCACUCUAAGGUGACUGCCGGCUAAAAGUCGGAGGAAGGUGGGGAUGACGUCAAAUCAUCAUGCCCCUUAUGACCUGGGCUACACACGUGCUACAAUGGGCGGUACAAAGGGUCGCGAACCCGCGAGGGGGAGCCAAUCCCAAAAAGCCGCUCUCAGUUCGGAUUGCAGGCUGCAACUCGCCUGCAUGAAGCCGGAAUCGCUAGUAAUCGCGGAUCAGCACGCCGCGGUGAAUACGUUCCCGGGCCUU
rnacentral:rRNA from 1 species